ACUCAAAUGAAUUGACGGGGGCCCGCACAAGCAGCGGAGCGUGUGGUUUAAUUCGAGGCUACACGAAGAACCUUACCAGGGCUUGACAGGUGCGUGGUAGGGAAGGGAAACCGGACCGACCCGCAAGGGAGCGCACACAGGUGCUGCAUGGCUGUCGUCAGCUCGUGCCGUGAGGUGUUAGGUUAAGUCCUGUAACGAGCGCAACCCCUGCCAUCAGUUACAUGUGUCUGGUGGGACUGCCCGGGCAACUGGGAGGAAGGUGGGGAUGAUGUCAAGUCAGCAUGGCCUUGAUGCCCUGGGCGACACACACGCUACAAUGGCCGGUACAAUGGGAAGCCAACCCGCGAGGGGCAGCGAAUCUCAACAAAGCCGGUCUCAGUUCGGAUUGGGGGCUGCAACCCGCCCCCAUGAAGUCGGAGUUGCUAGUAACCGCGCAUCAGCCAUGGUGCGGUGAAUGCGUUCCCGGGCCUUGCACACACCGCCCGU
rnacentral:rRNA from 1 species